rnacentral:rRNA from 1 species
UACGGAAGGGGCAAGCGUUGUUCGGAAUCAUUGGGCGUAAAGGGCGCGUAGGUGGUCUUGUGUGUCUACCGUGAAAGCGUACGGCUCAACCGUAUUUAGUCGGUAGAAACUGCAGGACUUGAGGCUGGGAGGGGCUGGUGGAAUUCCCUGUGUAGCGGUGAAAUGCGUAGAGAUGGGGGAGAACACUCGUGGCGAAGGCGGCCAGCUGGACCAGUUCUGACACUGAGGCGCGAUAGCGUGGGGAGCAAGCAGG